UCUUUGCUAGUGUAUUGGUUAGUACACAUGCCUGUCAUUUGCAAGACCAUGCAAAAGCUGGGUUUGACUCCCAGGCAAAGAG